UACAGAGGUCUCAAGCGUUGUUCGGAUUCAUUGGGCGUAAAGGGUGCGUAGGUGGCGGGGUAAGUCUGGUGUGAAAUCUCGGGGCUCAACCCCGAAACUGCACUGGAUACUGCCUUGCUCGAGUACUGGAGAGGAGAUUGGAAUUUACGGUGUAGCAGUGAAAUGCGUAGAUAUCGUAAGGAAGACCAGUGGCGAAGGCGAAUCUCUGGACAGUUCCUGACGCUGAGGCACGAAGGCCAGGGGAGCAAACGGG
rnacentral:rRNA from 1 species